AGUCACGGAAACUUGCAAACUGAUGCUGGAUACACCUGGUCUCAAAUCCAGGCUUUGGCUGUGAUUUUGGCCAACGAACCUCAGUUCUCUUCAGUUUCAUCGUCUGUAAAAUACGGCCAAAUGUAGCAUUUCCAUGAAGAUUCAAUGAAUUGCUGCUGCAGAGUGCCUGGCACACAGGUCUGGAAGGUGUCGAAUGUGAUGGUCCUUCGUCCGGUGAGGCAGAGAUGUGGGCAACCGGCAGGGUUCACAACAGGACUUCCAGUACAAUGGUGAAUAGAAGCGGUGAAAGCUGUUAUCCUUGCCUUGUCCUGAUCUCAGGGUAGCUGCUCGUUGGAAUCACUGCUGCAGCCAACACAUAACCCGUGAGCCUGUUUCCGCCUGCCCCAGGAACCAGAAGGGUUCUGAA